AAACGUCUUCCAGUAUCUUCAACCAAGUCCAGUUGCCCUUGAUUUUAACCUUCGUUGGAGAACUAUGACCUGGAUGACUGAGAACCUUCAUAGACAUUGUCCUUCAACCAUAUUUUCACACUUUUUAAAAUGUUUAAAAGAUGCAUUCUCUGACACUCAGUGGUAAAUUCCACAUCCCAGCUGCCUUUUCUGAGAAGCAGUUUUUUCCAAAUGCCGUAGACCAAAACUUAACAGUCCCCUCUAGAAGAUACAGGAAGAGUCAACACCAUGUGUGAGAUGAAGUUCUGUUCCUAGAGGUCAAGGAUGAAUAGCUAAUUAGCAAUGUCGCGUGAUGUCUGAAGAUUCUUGGUUAUCGUAGGAUAUGUACAGCUGCCUUCGACUUCUCAAUAUGUAGCCUAGCAAGUGAAUCUUCCCUGGUGGACGUUUGCUUGCAGCACAUCCACCAAGCUAACUGUGUAAGAAAGACCGUGCGUCCAGAUAAAUAAGGAGACAUUAGCUAGGAAGCUAGCAGUUCAGUCCAUUGCAAGUUGCGAACCAAUGGAGACAAGACAACGAGGCUCCGCCUUUAAACCACACGUGUUAAAAAAAGAAAGAGGCCGCCUGUAACUGACGGAGCAAAUCUAAAGCAAAACAUGUCUUUCAGUUGGACUUUAACCUUGCUAAUUUCACUGUUUAAAUGAUUUGAUUAUUAUUUUGGAGGAUGGCCGUGAGAAUAGCUCAACUGAUAUCGCCACUGUAUUUAGAGAGAAUUAUUCAGAAGGGCUUUGGUGACUCGCUCAGCUUUUGUCUAAACCCACCGUUUGAUUAAAAUGUGAUUGACCAAAACUAUUUGGACUGUUAUUGGCCAGAUUUACCCGUAUUUCGGUGUAUGUUCAAGCUCCCCAGAGGAUGCUCGGAAUGUUUUUGACGUCUUUUUUUUUUUGCUCCAUUACUCAAAUAACGAAAGAUUGGGGGUGUGACAUCGUUUGUGUUAAGAAAUAGUAAAGAAUUUAUUCAGAUCUAGGAGCAAGGUACUGAGCGCCAGGCGAGGGCGUUGGAUCGUGAGUGAUGGUGUACGUGACGACCGCAGGCUCAAACAGAGUUUAUUUGAUGAGUGUGAACCGUGACACAAAAAGCCCUGCGAACCCCCCACCCCCCUUUACCCACCGCCAUCCACGCCACCUCCAUUGACUUGUUGUUGAUUGUGGUAAAUGCUAGUGCCUUUGCUGUAUUGUGAAACUGGAUAUUGAUUGUACUGUUGUACCGACAGGGCCUGGGGAUAGUCAGGCACUCUAUUUAUUAUUGUUGACUCAGAUCAAUCAUAUUUUUCUAUGUAAGUGCUUUAAAUAAAUUUGCCCUUUUUUUAAAAUCA